rnacentral:lncRNA from 1 species
AUAAUUUUACGAGUCUAACUAUAGUGCUUCCAGAAAUAUAAAUGAGUUGGUACUUCUAAAUUUUUAACCCUUAGGGUGCGUUUGGUUCGCAUUAUGAAAGAUUACUAGGAAUAAAAGAUAUCCGAGAAUCUUAUUCCUAUUCAUUCUAUUACUAAGAAUGUGAAAUUCCUGUGUUUGGUUCGCACGGUAAUAUUAAUUAGCCAUGUUAUUUAAUAUUACAAAAAAUAUACAAUUAAUUAAUUUAUUUAUUUAAUUAAUUUUAGAUAAUGUUACCAAAAGUUUCAACAUCUUUUUAGAAAAAAAGGAGAGAGUAUAAGUUAGAGAGAGAAAGCAUAAUUAAAAAAAUAGAAAGAAAAAUAUAGUCGAAAUUUGAGGGAGUGAGAGAGUUGAAAUUUUAGAGAGAGAGAGAGAAAGCUUAGUUUAGAAAGAGAAAAAAAAGUUGAAUUUUAGAGAGAAAAAUAAGUUUAGAGAGAGAUAUAAGGCUAGAGUGUAAAGAAAAAUAAUAUCAAUUAGCCUGCGGGUAGGAAGAAAAAAAGAUAUUAGACGUAUUAUGAUUACCCCAAUCCAUUAAUAUGAGGAUACCCACCCUCCCUCAAGAGAAUGAGAUUAGUACUUUGGGGUGAAUCUUAUUCCCAAGUGAAUCUAAUAUUACCAACUAGAUUACUUAGUGCGUUUAGCCAAACACCGUCAUAUUUUUUUAUUCCCAUUGGAUUACUAGGAAUCUUUAAAAGAUAGCGCGAACCAAACGCACCCUUAGAUCAACUUUUUUAAUGAUUUCUAAUUUUUGGAUUAAUAAUAUUUUCCUAAAAAAAUCACUAAAUUACAAGGAGAUCACUAUCAUUCCAAUAAUAUAGUUUUUGAUCCAAAAGCUAAAAAGUUAAAAACGCCAAUUCCUUUAUACUUUUGAAAGAAUAGUAGUUCUGCACUAAUUUUAUAUUAUAUUGAAAGCGCUUUAGUAUUUUUAAAAUUUUUUAUAGUAGAAAAUAAUAUUUUUAGUAACCACGUUACCAAACUAGCACGUUACCAAACUAGGACUGAAAUGAAAAAAAAAAUAUUGUAACAGUUGUAUCCUAUAAGAUAUACCUUUAAUCAAUCUUACUGUGCAAUAUAAAAUAAUAAAGAGUUUAAUAAAAAUUAAAUAAUAAUUUUUUAAUAAAAUAAUAUUUUAGAUAAUUUUAUUAUUGUAUUUGUGUGCAGUAUAAAUAUUUUUGAUUGAAUACUAUUAUUUUAAUAUGAAAUAAUUGUGACAGAAAAUACUUUGUCUAUUCUAAGGGACAUCAUACAUAUACAUUGGAUAAAAAUGUAUGAAGACGCGCUGAAGUUCCGAACUCUAUGUCAUUUCUCAAAUGACCCCCUCAACUUUUAUAUAUUUCUUAAAAUUUUUCUUUUGAUUUUUUAGAACCGACUAAUUAUAGCUAAAAACUUUUAGAUUUUAAUAAAAUUUAUAGAUAAUUUUAUUAAAUUUAAUAAUUUAAUUAUUAUUAGUAAAUAAAAUAAAUUAAUUAAUGGUUGAUAACUUAAAAAUUAACCGUUAACUAAGUAUAAAAACUCAAAAAAAAAAGGAUGAAAAAAUUUGAACUAAAAGAAAGAUAGUUUAGAAAUCUAUUCCAAGAUGGCCAAGGAGCAGUUUUAUUUCAAAGAAAAAAGAAAUGCUACUAUACCCCGACCCACUUAGGGAGCGUUUGGAUUGAUGAAUAUGUAGAUCUAAUAAAACUCAAGUGCAGUGGUUUUUAAAUUUUCCUAAAAUGUGAUUAUUUUUUUAUUAUUUGUUUUAACGUAAUUCGUAUAAUCUGAAAGUUAAAUUUAAUUAUUUCUUCUGGUUAUUUUGAUAUAAUUUGGUACUAGUAAAAUUAGGUUUAUGCGUUUCAUUAUUUGUUUUGAUGUAAGUAAGUGGAUUUCGUUAUCUCUUGAAUAUGAUGGUAAAUUUACCGCUAUAAAAUUUAACCUAUUAAAUAAUUAAUUUUUUUAUUAUUUAAAGAUAAUUCUAAUUUAUUAUAAAUAAGGUAAUUUUAAUCCAUUAUAAAAGAAGUAGAGUUUAGGUUUUACUAUUUAAUAAAUUUUUUAGAGAAUAUUGAAUAAGGCGGAAGUCGAGUUCGACACUUUAGAGGGAGAAGUCGAGAGUAGGUGAAGUGGAGGUCUAAUAUAACUUGAGUUAGACUAUAUUUUUGACUUACACCAAAACAAAUAUCGAGAGUAAUAAAACUUGAGUUCCAUCCCUUCACUUAUACCAAAACAAACAGCCCCUUAAUGGAUAGAGUAAUUUUGUUGGUCAGAUCGAGAUGACGGAUGGAGAAAUCUUAUUUAUUGGAUGGAUAAAAUAUUAAAUUUAUAUACAAUUUUGAAGGUAUGGAUAGUAUUGCUCUUCAACGCUCUUGCUUUGAAAUAAUAUAAAAGGUAAGCUUUAAAUUGCCCGGGGUUACAAUGUAUUUUCACUUUGCCCGUUGUGGUACAAAGGUUUGCACUUUGUCUCUCUGAUUUAGCUCAUUUUUAUUUUGUUAUCCUGUAAUUCAAAAAAUUAUACUUAAUUAUUCUAUUAUUUACACAGUAUUUUACUUUGCUAUCCUAUUUGACAUAGAAAUUUCCUUGUUGAAAUAAAAAUUAAGCCACAAGCAGCAAAGUGCAACAUUUAAUAUUACAGGAUGAUAAUAAGCUACACCAAAAGGGGUAAUUUAAAAUUUAUCCUAAAAUAAAUAAAAAAUGCUACAUCUACAUCCCUUUGGGGGUUGCAAAUCUUACACCCUAGGCUAGACACAAGGGUUCACAAAGGCACUUUUGUUGUUAGUAAUAAUAAUAAUAAUAACAUAAAAUAAAUAAGAUGGUUAAAACAUGAGCCACCCAAGGGCUAACUUGUAUAGUUUAUACCUAUUUAAUAAGUGUAUGAGUAGCAUUACCCAAAAUAAAUUGGUACGUCAAACUUUUCUCUGGCAGUUCAUCUUUUAGAGCUAAGCUAAAAUGUUAUUAGUAGUAAACGGGUUUUAUUGUCACUCCUUUAUUUUCGAUGAUGAAGUUUCCAAAUCGAUGAUCUGCACUGUUAAAUAUGAUCUAUACUACUUGAAGUAUCUAAAAACUAAAUUUGACAUUUUUCCGAUAUUGUUCUCUGUCCACCAAGUGGGUACAAAAUUAAUGGUUAAAAACGAAUAUUCUUUAAAAAGUGAUGAUAAAAAUCUUAUAAUCAAGAUUAAGAGUAUAGACCUCGUUUUAAAUAGUUUAAAGAAUUUUCUAAUCAAAAUUCGAUUGAUUUGGAUAUCUUUAUAUCGUUAAACGAAAAAAUGCCUCAUAUUGAUCAUUAAAAUUACAAAAUUUGAAACCAUUUAAUCAUUAGAUCAAUGAUAUCGAAAAGAUUAAAAUUUGGUUUCUAUACGCUCCAAGUGGUAUAGAUCAUUUUGAAUGAUUCCAAUCGUCGAUUUGGAGGCUCGAUCAUCAAAAAUAAUUGGAUGGGAAUGAAAUCUGUUUGUUACUGAUAGUAUUUCAGCUCUUCUCUGAUCUUUUAAUACGGUAGAAAAAUUUUGGUAACCCUAACCUAAACUUUGGGUGAUUUAAAAAUAACUAUCCAACUUCACAAAAUUUUACUUUGUUAUCUGACAUUUCAAAUAGUGUGAUUUGCCGUUUUAAAAGUAAUUGCAUGUCCAUGAUGCCCAGAUAUUUUUAUGGGCUUUUUUUUGCAAAUAGCCCCAUGAGCAAUUUUUAUUUUAAAAAUAGCCCUAUCAAAAUUAAAAUUACAAAAAUGACCCUGUUCAUGCCACGCAGGCGCCACGUCAGCGCCACGCGGGCAGAGCUAGGGCCAGGGUAUUAAGUUGAAUACAGUGAAUCAUUUACCAUGUCUAAACACGGUGAAUGAUUCACCGUAUUUCUUACGUAUUUUUUGUAUAUUGAAAAGUGGAAUAAGGAGUAGGGACGUCAAUAGGUAUGGAUAUCCGAAAUAUUAUCCGAAACCAAACCCGAAUAAAUUAUAUAUAUAUAUAUAUAUAUAUAUAUAUAUAUAUAUAUAUAUAUAUAUACACACACGUAAUANUGAAUUUCUCAUACAAAUUGGCCAAUAUUAAUAUAUAAAUGAUAAAAUAAUAAAAUAAAUAAUAUAUCAAAUUUAAUUAAUUUAUAAUAUAUUAUAAGAUUUAAGUAUAAAUAUAUUAUCAUAGAUAAUAUUAAUAUUAAUAUAUUUAUUUUUUAUUAAAUAUUUUAUAUAUUAUAUAAAUAAACAAAAAUAAAUUAUGUAUAUAUAUAUAAUUUAUUUGGCUUUGAAUUCGGAUAAUAUUUCGGAUAUCCAUACCUAUUGACAUCCCUACUCCUUAUUCCACUUUUCAAUAUACAAAAAAUACGUAAUAAAAAAUACGUACUAAACACGGUGAACUAUUUACCGUGUUUGAACACGGUGAAUGAUUCACCGUGUUCAACUUAACACACAGGUCCAGUCCUGCCCGCGUGGCGUUGACGUGGCGCCUGCGUGGCAGGCCCAGGGCUAUUUUUGCAAAUUAAAUUUUGACAGGGCUAUUUUUAAAAUAAAAAUUUGUCAGAGGUCUAAAUGCAAAAAAAAAUCCUAUUUUUAUACAUUGUAUCUUAAUUUUUUUUCCUUUUAAAUUCAUA